AAGGAGUCUAACAUAUCUGCGAGUAUUUGGGUGUCAAACACGUGUGCGCACUGAAAGUGAACGUAGGAGCCACGCGCACGCUGCAGCUUCGACCGAUCUGGAUCUUUAGAGAUGGAUUUGAGUAAGAGCAUAUAUGUUGGGACCCGAAAGAUGGUGAACUAUGCCUGAAUAGGGCGAAGCCAGAGGAAACUCUGGUGGAGGCUCGUAGCGAUUCUGACGUGCAAAUCGAUCGUCAGAUUUGGGUAUAGGGGCGAAAGACUAAUCGAACCAUCUAGUAGCUGGUUCCUG
rnacentral:misc_RNA from 1 species